CCUAGAGUUGUAGGCUUUGCCUGCUAUCUCUUACCCAUGUCUUUUGAGUACCUUACGUUUCCUCGGUGGGUUCGCCCACCGAUUGGACAAACUUAAACCCUUUGCGGUUGAAAUCAGCGUCUGAAAAAACUUAAUAGUUA
rnacentral:misc_RNA from 1 species